UUUAUUGUAGUUGAGUUACAACGGUGGUUUUUCGAGCCACAGGUCUUAGUUUUAAAGUCUAAGCAGUAAUG
rnacentral:tRNA from 1 species